UAGUCAUUAUAUUUUAAAUAGGGUCAACAAAAUAUUUCAGGGUCCUGCUAAUUGCUACAAGGCUCGCAUUUUUUUUGGCCGCACUCAAACACUCAAAUGGCCAUAAAUUUGUUCCUUUUCGGGCCAAAGAAGAAGGGUCAAUGUGUGAACAUGCAAAACACCCAAAAAGGGAGCAAAGAAUCGGUGGAAAAUCAACACUAAGGUCCUGGGAAAAUUCCACUACUCUGUUUGGUUCGCUGCCCCGCGCAUUUUCCAUCAAGUCGCAUGCCACUCGAACAGCAAAAAGUGUUAAUCGAAAUUCAGAAAAGAAAUCAAAAAGUCGAGAGCCAAAUUCUCCAAGUCGUUGUUUGAUUUCACUAAGCGAUUUCCCAACAUGAAAGAAAUUGCGCUUUCCUGGCCCCCGGCGACAUUGUUUCAAAUUGAAACUGGCAGAUGGACAUCUAGACAGGAUUCAAGCUUCGGAAUCGAGGAUCCAGGGAAAGGGACAGGACAAGUGUCAGUUGCAGAACAAAAUCGAAGGCGAAAAUCGGGGGAAAAUCUGUGCGUGUCUGGGAGACUAAUGUGCAGACACUGCGAUUUGAUCGGUCAGUCUGGGAAUUCCCAGAUUCUUGGAAUCUGGGGAUAAGAACUGGGGAAAAAGGAAGAGCGGAAAGGCGGUAAAACGAGCGGAAAAUUUACGAUGCGUGCACAAGGGGGGCCCACAAUGUCCUGGACAACGAGCGAAAUUCUGUGGCCUCCUCUGCAGACUAUUUUUGAAAAGGGUUUGACAUUUAAGGCACAUUCCCACACACACAUGGCCCCAAAAUGACAAAACGAUGUCUAAACGAGCUCCGAACGAGCGGC